UUAAAAAGAACAGCUGAGGGAUGACGACAAGCCUGAUGACCCUAAUGGAAUCCAUGGAACCCCAGAUGAUAAAAGGUUCCUGCCCAGUCUGAGUUCCUGUCUUGGCUUCCCUUAGUGGAGUACACCUGGGAUAGAUGCACACAACACACAAAUCUACGUUCUCCUUCACAAUCGGAACGCAGCUGAAGACAUCCAGUGCUGAGGUCUUACCCCCUUUAAUUCCAAUGACGGUGCCUCGAAGGCCGACUGGCACGGAGAAGCUCUCUCUCACGUUCACAACGCGAUCAAAGAGCCGGAACUCGGCAUCCCGAUCAGGAAUGACUCCAUGCUGCUGCUCUAAGGGCUGAACAGAAGAGAGCCGUGUACUCUAAGGAAUGCUUGACACCUUUCACAUGUUGAUGUCUGUGAGUUCUCUGUUUUCAGAGCGGGGUCUUACUAUGUAGCCCUGAGAGACUG
ensembl:antisense C78334 expressed sequence C78334